rnacentral:rRNA from 1 species
UACGGGGGGGGGCAAGCGUUGUUCGGAAUUACUGGGCGUAAAGGGUUCGUAGGUGGCCAACUAAGUCAGACGUGAAAUCCCCCGGCUUAACCUGGGAACUGCGUCUGAUACUGGAAGGCUUGAGGAUGGGAGAGGGAUGUAGAAUUCCAGGUGUAGCGGUGAAAUGCGUAGAUAUCUGGAGGAAUACCGGUGGCGAAGGCGGCAUCCUGGACCAUUACUGACGCUGAGGCGCGAAAGCCAGGGGAGCAAACGGG